rnacentral:rRNA from 1 species
GACGAACGCUGGCGGCGUGCUUAACACAUGCAAGUCGAACGGUGAACCGGGCUUCGGCCCGGGGAUCAGUGGCGAACGGGUGCGUAACACGUGGGCAACCUGCCUCAGACACUGGGAUAACCCCGGGAAACCGGGGCUAAUACCGGAUACUCCGACCGGACUGCAUGAUCCGGCCGGGAAAGCUCCGACGGUCUGAGAUGGGCCCGCGGCCUAUCAGCUUGUUGGUGGGGUAACGGCCCACCAAGGCGACGACGGGAGCUGGUCUGAGAGGACGACCAGCCACACUGGAACUGAGACACGGUCCAGACUCCUACGGGAGGGCAGCAGUGGGGAAGUCUUGCGCAAUGGGCGAAAGCCUGACGCAGCGACGCCGCGUGGGGGAUGAAGGCCUCGGGUUGUAAACCCCUUUCGGCAGGGACGAAGCGAACGUGACGGUACCUGCAGAAGAAGUCCCGGCUAACUACGUGCCAGCAGCCGCGGUAAU